rnacentral:lncRNA from 1 species
GUGAUCUACUACUCUUAAUGAAUAAUAAAUUUGGAUUCCUCUGAUGUUCUUGAGCCCUUUUGUAUUCAUAUACAUAUUUAGACCCAUGAUUAGCCAUUAUGUAAGGACAUGAGAAGAAGAGAAAAGGACUUUAUCAGCUGUUGGAUUGGAUUUCGUGGUCAAUAUAUCUUUGGAGGAAAUUGGAGACAAGGAAUCAUGAAUUAUAUAAAUGGUUUUUCUGCUCAAUAAGGUCUUAAGGAUUGAGAGAAGAUAUUUCCUCUGAGGAAUCAUUGUGCUAUGUAUACGGAAAGAGGGGAUCCUUGACAAUAACCAGAAUCCCUACAACAUAAUAUCAGCAUUACUGGAUUGUUGGGCAUGGUGAACAUUUGAGUAUGUAUGUAUAUUAAUCUUUUGUAGAUCAUUUGACAAUAUCAUAUAAGGACAACAACUAUAGAGAAUGACUACUUUGAUAAUCAGAUUUAAGGACACAAAGAAUGAAUAAUAAUAUGUAUCUUCUACGCCCAAAUAUCUCAAGGAUUGGGAAAAUAGUUUUUCUUUAAUGAAUGAACCAUUUCGCUACAUAUGAUGACCACCUAGUUGUAGAGAAUGAAAGGAUCCUUGUCAACAACAACCGGGUCUACUACGGUAUAACAUCUACAUUGUUGGAUCAUGGGCCAAAGUGAAUAUAUGAAUCGAAUGGUCCAUUUGACAAUUGGAUUUAAGGACACUAGGAAUAAAUAAGCAUGACUCGUACCAGAUUAAAUAAUUUGAGAAACAGAUAUAAAGAGACUAGGAAUUAAUAACCAGAUGCUUUUGGACUUCAAAAGAAUUCAAAGGAUUGGGAGGAUAGCUUCCCUUGGAUGGAGGAACCAUUGCUUGUAACUUGUAUAAGAAGAUUACACAAAGUACAAUUUCUACGUCUCAGUACGUUUUGUUUAAUUAUUGUGCAUAUUGUUAAUUAACUAUUAACUGAUGUUAUGAUUCAAUUUUGAUCCAUUAUAAUUACUUAUUUAUGCUGUAUUCCAAAUAAUAAUAUAAAAAAUGGUCGUCAUUUGAUCUUUA